GUCAUUUAGGAACUAGGGUUUACUCCCCAUCUCUUAACGUUUCUCUCAAAAUCCCCAAACCCUUAUUACUUUGACAACCAGUUUUGGUGUUUCAUCUAAAUCUGUUCUUGAUUUCAUUGUUCAAAGUGAUGAUUUCCAUCAUCAAUCUGUCCACGAAUAUUCUACAUGUUAUUCAAUUUUUCUGAGUUAUUUUGGGUAAUUAUUUCCAUCACCAACUGAGGUUGGAUCUGUGCGAUUGAGUUAGGCAUUUUGUGGUUCAACAAGUUGUUUUUAUGGCGAGGCCAUAUCUCUGAGUCGUUUUGUAAAGAAGAGCUCGCGUGUUAUUCAUUUCAACCUCCGCAGUAAGAUGGGAAGGAGUUGUUUCAUUGUGGUCCGAGGUUCUUCCAGGAGUAUUAACUUAAAAUUCGAGUAAGUUCAGUAGCUGGAAACAAUGCUAAUUGAAGUUAGCACAACUUGAGCUGAAACUUGAGAGAGUUAGGCAGCAGGUUUUGAAGACUUCAGUUUACAAGUGAAGAUGUAGAUAUUGGAGGCUUCAAGUUGACAAGAUAAUUAGCAUUUGCCCAGAACUAUAGACUACAAUUCAUUUAUUUGCAAAUGAUGUUAAUUUGUUUUCUUCCUAUAGGGUGUGUAAAUGAUACAGUACAAACGGAAUGUUGAUCCUUUUUUUUUUGUUGUAAUUUUGCAAAUAUAUAUGAAGACAUUAUUGAUAA